GAUGAACGCUGGCGGCGUGCCUAAUACAUGCAAGUCGAGCGAACGGGCGAGAAGCUUGCUUCUCUGAUGUUAGCGGUGGACGGGUGAGUAACACGUGGAUAACCUACCUAUAAGACUGGGAUAACUUCGGGAAACCGGAGCUAAUACCGGAUGAUAUUUUGAACCGCAUGGUUCAAAAGUGAAAGACGGUCUUGCUGUCACUUAUAGAUGGAUCCGCGCUGCAUUAGCUAGUUGGUAAGGUAACGGCUUACCAAGGCAACGAUGCAUAGCCGACCUGAGAGGGUGAUCGGCCACACUGGAACUGAGACACGGUCCAGACUCCUACGGGAGGCAGCAGUAGGGAAUCUUCCGCAAUGGGCGAAAGCCUGACGGAGCAACGCCGCGUGAGUGAUGAAGGUCUUCGGAUCGUAAAACUCUGUUAUUAGGGAAGAACAUAUGUGUAAGUAACUGUGCACAUCUUGACGGUACCUAAUCAGAAAGCCACGGCUAACUACGUG
rnacentral:rRNA from 1 species